rnacentral:rRNA from 1 species
CUACGGGUGGCUGCAGUGGGGAAUAUUGCACAAUGGGCGCAAGCCUGAUGCAGCCAUGCCGCGUGUAUGAAGAAGGCCUUCGGGUUGUAAAGUACUUUCAGCGGGGAGGAAGGGAGUAAAGUUAAUACCUUUGCUCAUUGACGUUACCCGCAGAAGAAGCACCGGCUAACUCCGUGCCAGCAGGCCGCGAUAAUACGGAGGGUGCAAGCGUUAAUCGGAAUUACUGGGCGUAAAGCGCACGCAGGCGGUUUGUUAAGUCAGAUGUGAAAUCCCCGGGCUCAACCUGGGAACUGCAUCUGAUACUGGCAAGCUUGAGUCUCGUAGAGGGGGGUAGAAUUCCAGGUGUAGCGGUGAAAUGCGUAGAGAUCUGGAGGAAUACCGGUGGCGAAGGCGGCCCCCUGGACGAAGACUGACGCUCAGGUGCGAAAGCGUGGGGAGCAAACAGGAUUAGAUACCCCAGUAGUC